rnacentral:lncRNA from 1 species
UGAAUCUAACCAUGUAUUUAGAUAUUUCAUAUUGGGGCCCGGUUAUCAAAUUGGUCCACAUUGAGGUCUAACGGGUCUAAAAUUGAACAUUAUUUGAUUUCAUCAAAAAUUGAAUUCUUGAGGUUCUAUGAUAUGCUGAAUCUAACCAUGUAUUUAGAUUUUGGAUAUUGGACCAUUUUAAAUAGGUAAAUGUCCAAUUUAAAAUUUUUAAGUUUUUAAGUUUAAGUUCUUAGACCACAUUCAUUCUGUGUCAGAAACCUAUGUUGUGUCAACUAUUUAAUCACAAUCCAAAUUCAAAGCUGUAUCAAGCUUAAAUGUUGUGUCCAUACUUGCCCCAACUGUUCAGGGUUCGACCUCUGCGGUCGUAUAAAGCUGCGCCCUGUGGAGCAUCUGGUUGAUUAUGGGCCCAGUUUUCAAGUUGGUCCAAAUUGGGGUCCAAAAUUAAACUUUGUUUGAUUUCAACAAAAAUUGAAUAUAUGGGGUUCUUCAAUAUGCUGAAUCUAACCAUGUAUUUAGAUUUUUUAUAUUGGGGCCCGGUUAUCAAAUUGGUCCACAUUGAGGUCUAAAGGGUCUAAAAUUGAACAUUAUUUGAUUUUAUCAAAAAUUGAAUUCUUGGGGUUCUAUGAUAUGCUGAAUCUAACCAUGUAUUUAGAUUUUGGAUAUUGGACCAUAAUAGGUAAAUGUCCAAUUUAAAACUUUUAAGUUUUUCAGUUUAAGUUCUUAGACCACAUUCAUUCUGUGUCAGAAACCUAUGUUGUGUCAACUAUUUAAUCACAAUCCAAAUUCAGAGCUGUAUCAAGCUUAAAUGUUGUGUCCAUACUUGCCCCAACUGUUCAGAGUUCGACCUCUGCGGUCGUAUAAAGCUGCACCCUGCGGAGCAUCUAGUU